rnacentral:rRNA from 1 species
UACGUAGGGGGCAAGCGUUGUCCGGAUUCAUUGGGCGUAAAGAGCUCGUAGGCGGCUUGGCAAGUCGGGUGUGAAAACUUCAGGCUCAACCUGGAGCGGCCACUCGAUACUGCCAUGGCUUGAGUCCGGUAGGGGACCACGGAAUUCCUGGUGUAGCGGUGAAAUGACGCAGAUAUCAGGAGGAACACCGGUGGCGAAGGCGGUGGUCUGGGCAGUAACUGACGCUGAGGAGCGAAAGCGUGGGGAGCGAACAGG